GCAUUUCCCUUUGCUCCCACACCCAAAUUUACCUCGACCACCCCAAAUGCCCACGCUGAAUAUGCCUUCACAACCUGGAUCGUUGCCUUCAUCAGGACCUGCCUCAGUGCCAAUGCCUAUGCCUGGUCCUCCAAUGGGGAUGCAAGGAUCUAUGAAUCAGAUGGUUCCUCCCAUGCAACAAAACCAUUACAUGGGCAUGAAUCCAAUGCACUCUGGACCUAUG
rnacentral:misc_RNA from 1 species